CUCAAGGUGAGCCCUAAAAACUUUUAACUAAAAUUUGAUAAAUACACUAUAAUAUUUUCGAAAUUGGGGAUUUUUACUUAGGGAUCCACAUAGAAAUUUUUCAACACACAAAGAAGAUGAAAUAAUAGGGUCUCGGCUGUUGGGGUUUGAAACCAGGGGCGACGGCAGCAGGGCAAAAACGGCUUCGACGAUCUCCACGGCAGGAGCGCGUACCACAAAGGAUCCUGCUGCAGACGGUGAAGUUGACUGGUGUGUUGUCGUCGACGCGUUGGGUUCCUGUUGCAGGCGUACGAAGGCGGAGAAGAAGGCUGGCGUAGACGCACGACUCCUAGGUUCUCUCGGCUCCGACAACUGUAGCAGAGGGUCUCGGCGGCAGCACUGUAGCAUAUGGUCUCGGCAACAGAAAACAAACAAAGAGCAAAGGAGAGAGCAACAAUGGAGUUCUUCCCUACGAAGUGCUUUGGCUCCAAUGGUUCUACACUAAUCUCAGCCUCAACAUCUCCAUUCUCUUGAGCAUUUCACUCAAUCAAGACUACUAAACUUCAAGAAGAAGAUUAUGUCCUCAUCCCAUCAUAGGAGGAAUAUAUAGCAGCCGGGUAUUAUAAAAUGGGCGUUUCUAGCUCAAGAGUAGAAGAAGAUAAAGCCCUGCAGCUAUGUCGUGACACGAAGAAGUUUGUUAGGCAAGCACUUGAUGGGAGGUGCGCACUAGCAGCAGCUCAUGUUGCAUAUAUUCAGUCACUAAGGAGCACCAGAGUGGCUCUUAAAAAAUUUGUUGAGCCCAAAGCUCCAGUUGAAUCUUCCUUGUAUGCUUCCACUACUGCAACGCCCGGACCUCUUGCUCUGACUGAGAAGACACAUUCUCAAUUUUCAUUUACUUGUGCAAAUACAUCAAUAUGCUAAAUGUUGUUUGUGUUUGAGCUUUAGAUGAUUGGCAAUUGAAACUUUUGGAACUUACAAAAAGUAUGAGACCAACUUUGUCGGAUUGGUGAGAAAAAGGGUGUUCAACUUUUCAUUAAGUACUUUUUGCUAGCUAGUAAUUGAAAUGGGAAUUAACAAUACUCUUUUUUUUUUGUUA